CUAAUGUGAAUACUGUUUCAUACUUGUAAACUAAGCUUGCCUUCUGAUGACCAACAAAACCAGUUUUGGAGUAAUGGAGUAUACACGGACAAGACUGCUAUUUAUCUGGCUGAUACAUGUUCAUCUCUGUUCUAAGUAUCCAGGUCUUGCAUAUAAGUGAAUAUACCCAACAGCAGGAACAACCCAUGAGGCUGAAUUCAAGGUCUACCAAAGAGAGAUUGUAAGUGGAAAACACAUGGAAGAAAAUCACUAGUGCUGCAGGAAAGCAUUCCUUUCCUAUUAUAAUAUUUGGAGUUUUCUACUUAACAUUACCAUAUCAACUGGAAAUACUUAGUGAUUGCACAGAAUCCCAUGGAACAAGAAAUCCUACGAAAAUGCACUGCUACAGGCCCAGACUUCCACCCUACACCAGAAGAGUUUUGCCACUGCUUCAAAUGAGAAUUCCUGGAGCACGAUCCAAAGCCUUCUGAAAUCGCUGAUUCUUCUUCUCUUCUAGUUCUGGUUCAUGCAAAUAACAAAACACACUAAAAUAGAAGAGAAGAAGUGCUUAGAGCUGUCUGAGGAAACAUGGGACAGGUCCUCAGAUAAAUGCUGAGGGAGUAUCAAACGGAUAUUAUGAAGAUGAUAAAAUUACAUUGUGACUGAAAGACAGUUUAUUUCAAGGGAGAGUGUGAGGUGAUCAAAACGUGUGAAGUUCAAAAAGCCCUCCUGCAACAGUAACCGUACUGCAAGUUGUG
ensembl:lncRNA